UCGUACCAUGGAGGCGCUUGGGCUGUCGCUGACCUUUCAAAAGGUUGUGCACGCCCAAGCACUCUCACACAUCCAUCUCACCCCUUUGUGCACAACCGCGUGGGUUCUCCUUCCGGGGAUGGCCCACGUCUUUUCACACAAACCUCAAAGUAGUGUAGAAUGUAUUUUCUUUUUGCGGUGAUACGCAAUCAAUA
rnacentral:misc_RNA from 1 species